rnacentral:rRNA from 1 species
AUUGAACGCUAGCGGGAUGCUUUACACAUGCAAGUCGAACGAGUGGGGACGGGUGAGUAACACGUGGGUAACCUCCCAUCAGAGGGGAUAACACUUGGAAACAGGUGCUAAACCGAUACUGAUGGAUGGACCCGCGGUGCAUUAGCUAGUUGGUGAGGUAACGGCUCACCAAGGCCACGAUGCAUAGCCGACCUGAGAGUGUGAUCGGCCACCCUGGGACUGAGACACGGCCCAGACUCCUACGGGAGGCAGCAGUAGGGAAUCUUCGGCAAUGGACGAAAGUCUGACCGAGCAACGCCGCGUGGGUUAAGAAGGUUUUCGGAUCGUAAAGCUCUGUUGUUAGAGAAGCGUUAUCUAACCAGAAAGCCACGGCUAACUACGUGCCAGCAGCCGCGGUAAUUC